AUGAACGCUGGCGGCGUGCUUCACACAUGCAAGUCGAACGAAGCACUUUAUUUGAUUUCCUUCGGGACUGCUUAUUUUGUGACUGAGUGGCGGACGGGUGAGUAACGCGUGGGUAACCUGCCUUGUACAGGGGGAUAACAGUUGGAAACGGCUGCUAAUACCGCAUAAGCGCACGGCAUCGCAUGAUGCAGUGUGAAAAACUCCGGUGGUAUAAGAUGGACCCGCGUUGGAUUAGCUAGUUGGUGAGGUAACGGCCCACCAAGGCGACGAUCCAUAGCCGACCUGAGAGGGUGACCGGCCACAUUGGGACUGAGACACGGCCCAAACUCCUACGGGAGGCAGCAGUGGGGAAUAUUGCACAAUGGGCGAAAGCCUGAUGCAGCGACGCCGCGUGAGCGAAGAAGUAUUUCGGUAUGUAAAGCUCUAUCAGCAGGGAAGAUAAUGACGGUACCUGACGAAGAAGCACCGGCUAAAUACGUG
rnacentral:rRNA from 1 species